rnacentral:rRNA from 1 species
CAGUCGACGACUCUGGUAUUGAUUGGUGCUUGCAUCAUGAUUUACAUUUGAGUGAGUGGCGAACUGGUGAGUAACACGUGGGAAACCUGCCCAGAAGCGGGGGAUAACACCUGGAAACAGAUGCUAAUACCGCAUAACAACUUGGACCGCAUGGUCCGAGCUUGAAAGAUGGCUUCGGCUAUCACUUUUGGAUGGUCCCGCGGCGUAUUAGCUAGAUGGUGGGGUAACGGCUCACCAUGGCAAUGAUACGUAGCCGACCUGAGAGGGUAAUCGGCCACAUUGGGACUGAGACACGGCCCAAACUCCUACGGGAGGCAGCAGUAGGGAAUCUUCCACAAUGGACGAAAGUCUGAUGGAGCAACGCCGCGUGAGUGAAGAAGGGUUUCGGCUCGUAAAACUCUGUUGUUAAAGAAGAACAUAUCUGAGAGUAACUGUUCAGGUAUUGACGGUAUUUAACCAGAAAGCCACGGCUAACUACGUGCCAGCAGCCGCGGUAAUACGUAGGUGGCAAGCGUUGUCCGGAUUUAUUGGGCGUAAAGCGAGCGCAGGCGGUUUUUUAAGUCUGAUGUGAAAGCCUUCGGCUCAACCGAAGAAGUGCAUCGGAAACUGGAAAACUUGAGUGCAGAAGAG